AUUGAACGCUGGCGGCAUGCCUUACACAUGCAAGUCGAACGGCAGCACGGACUUCGGUCCGGUGGCGAGUGGCGAACGGGUGAGUAAUGCAUCGGAACGUGCCAUUGAGUGGGGGAUAACGUAGCGAAAGUUGCGCUAAUACCGCAUAUUCUGUGAGCAGGAAAGCAGGGGACCGCAAGGCCUUGCGCUCUUUGAGCGGCCGAUGUCAGAUUAGCUAGUUGGUGAGGUAAAGGCUUACCAAGGCGACGAUCUGUAGCGGGUCUGAGAGGAUGAUCCGCCACACUGGAACUGAGACACGGUCCAGACUCCUACGGGAGGCAGCAGUGGGGAAUUUUGGGACAAUGGGGGCAACCCUGAUCCAGCCAUGCCGCGUGAGUGAAGAAGGCCUCGGUUGUAA
rnacentral:rRNA from 1 species